rnacentral:rRNA from 1 species
UACGUAGGGACCAAGCGUUGUUCGGAUUUACUGGGCGUAAAGGGCGCGUAGGCGGCGCGGUAAGUCACUUGUGAAAUCUCUGAGCUUAACUCCGAAACUGCAUUCGAUACUGCCGUGCUUGAGGACUGGAGAGGAGACUGGAAUUUACGGUGUAGCGGUGAAAUGCGUAGAUAUCGUAAGGAAGACCAGUGGCGAAGGCGGGUCUCUGGACAGUUCCUGACGCUCAUGCACGAAGGCCAGGGGAGCAAACGGG